rnacentral:rRNA from 1 species
GACAGAGGUGCCAAGCGUUAGGCGGAAUCACUGGGCUUAAAGCGUGUGUAGGCGGACUUGUAAGUACCUUGUGAAAUCCCACGGCUCAACCGUGGAACUGCUUGGUAUACUGCUUGUCUUGAGCCACUUAGGGGCUACCGGAACAAAUGGUGGAGCGGUGAAAUGCGUAGAUAUCAUUUGGAACGCCAAUGGUGAAAACAGGUAGCUGGGAGUGUGCUGACGCUGAGACACGAAAGCCAGGGGAGCGAAUGGG